GCGCAGGCGGUCGUCCAAGUCGCGCUGUGAAAGCCCCCGGCUCAACUGGGGAGGGUCACGCGAUACUGAUCGACUCGAAGGCAGGAGAGGGUAGUGGAAUUCCCGGUGUAGUGGUGAAAUGCGUAGAUAUCGGGAGGAACACCAGUGGCGAAGGCGACUACCUGGCCUGUUCUUGACGCUGAGGCGCGAAAGCUAGGGGAGCAAACGGGAUUAGAUACCCCGGUAGUCCUAGCCGUAAACGAUGGACACUAGGUGUUGGUGGUAUCAACCCCGCCAGUGCCGAAGCUAACGCAUUAAGUGUCCCGCCUGGGGAGUACGGCCGCAAGGCUAAAACUCAAAGGAAUUGACGGGGCCCCACACAAGCGGUGGAGCAUGUGGUUCAAUUCGUCAAUAAACGAGGAACCUUACCCAGGCUUGACAUCUCCGGAAUUCCGAGGAAACUCGGGAGUGCCGUAAGGAACCGGAUGACAGGUGCUGCAUGGUCGUCGUCAGCUCGUGCCUUGAGGUGUUCGGUUAAGUCCGUAAACGAGCGCAACCCAUGUCCUAUGUUGUAUUUCUCAUAGGAGACUGCCGAUUACACGUCGGAGGAAGGGAUGGAUGACGUCAGAUCAGCAUGGCCCUUAUGCCUGGGGCUACACACGUGCUACAAUGGCCGGUACAAUGGGAAGCGAACCCGUAAGGGGGAGCCAAUCCCACCAAAGCUGGUCUUAGUUCGGAUUGAGGGCUGCAACUCGACCUCAUGAAGCUGGA
rnacentral:rRNA from 1 species